rnacentral:rRNA from 1 species
UAAGUAUCCUGUUGUGAAUACAUAGCAACAGGAGGCAAACCGGGGGAACUGAAACAUCUAAGUACCCCGAGGAAGAGAAAUCAACCGAGAUUCCGAAAGUAGCGGCGAGCGAAAUUGGAUUAGCCCUUAAGCUUUUAAUGAGACAGAUGAAGGCUCUGGAAAGUGCCGCAAUAAAGGGUGAUAGCCCCGUAAUCGACAUCUCAUCAUCAGUG